AAAAAUAUAAUUAAAAUCAGAAUGAUGUUAAAAACAUAUUUUAAUUUUGUUAAAGUCAUACCCUACUUCCACCUUAUGAUCUAUUUUGUACAUGUCCAUUGUCUUUGAUUCCAUUCUCAACUUCUAUUCAUGUCCUCCAUUCCUAUCUCUGUUUCCACUCCCAUCUUCAACUACAUCUUCAUCCCCACCUCCAUUUCUAACUCUAUCCUUGUUUCUAUUUCCAUCUCCAAUUCUACCUUCAUUUCCAACUUCAUCUCCAAUCCCAUCCUUGUCUCUACUCCUAUCUCCAAUUCCACCCUUGUCUCCACCUCCAUCUCCAUCUCCAUCUCCAAUUCUACCCUUCUUCCUAUCUCUGUCUUCAACUCCAUCCUUAUCUCCAUCUUCAUCUUUAAUUCCAAU
rnacentral:lncRNA from 1 species